rnacentral:lncRNA from 10 species
GCUGAGUGGUGGCUGGGUAUGGAGGCGAAGGCGGCACCCAAGCCAGCUGCAAGCGGCGCGUGCUCGGUGUCGGCAGAGGAGACCGAAAAGUGGAUGGAGGAGGCGAUGCACAUGAUACUAUGCUAUGCACAGUGUUUUCAUGUGGGCCAUGUUAUAAGCCCCACAGAAGCCCUAUCAGGAAAUAUUUCUUUAAGGACUCAUCAAACUGUGUGCAAACAAGGUCUGUUUCCAUCUCUCCCCCUUUUAUCAUGACAUCACUAGAAAGCAGUUUAUAGUAGUAAUGUCUUUGGAGAAAAUAAUAAACUACGAAGUCUCUUCCAUCUAGGUGCUUUCAUUAUCUGUAUCUGGGCAGGCCCUGACUAGAGAAAAAAAAGAAAUUAUAUUCAAGGACAAAAUAGAGACCAGUGUUUGGGCUGGGAAGAACAGAGAUUUUAUUCUUUAAUUUUGAAGGUUGAUCAUUUGUUACUUUAUGAAAAACCUUGUAGCCAUUUUUAAAUAGUAUCUGAUCUUGGUCUUUCCCCCUAAAAAAGGCAAGAAAGGUUAAAUUCAAAGCUACCUGCACAAAUUUCAGACCCAUUUUGCCUGAGCUUUUUUGCAUUUGUGAAGAAGUGAUCAGACUUGACAGUAGAGUUGUUGGGAGAGUUUGAAAGUAUGAUAUGGGUAUGGGGUGAAAUUGAUUUCCAGCUUAAUUAAAUCUAUUGUGAACUUGUUAGUGAAGCAAAUCUACAUGUUAAUUGUUGUAAAGGAGUUCCCCUCAACUCACUUCCAUGGGGCUUUGUGUUAUUCUCACCGCCCCCUCCCCUGCCUACCAUUCCAGUUGCUUACCCACUCAUCCUCAGCAUGGCAGGCUCGGCCAUUCCUCAACAAUGACGUUAUUUGUCCUUUUAAAAUAUUCCGAUCGCUCAUAUUUGCUCUCUGUUUCGGACAGCAGUGGAAGGCAUUUCAGGAAAAAAAACUGUGUUACUCAAAAUAAACAUGAAGAUAAUAUUGAGAGGAGUGAAAUGAAAUAAAUUUGCUAGACGGAAAAAGAGAAAAAUCCAAAGGAAGGAAUGGAAGGCACAAACCCAGUAACAUGGUGGCGUGGGUGCUAUCUCCAGGUGAACAAGACAGAACUUGCAGGCAACAUGGAAUCUCAUCUCCCAUCCCACUCACGUCCUUUCCACUCGGCCCUGCAUUCUCUUCUGCAGGUUUGAGAUGGCCCACAUAGCCAAUGUAGAGCUCUUCAGGAGAUAUUUUUACAGAAAAUCCUGAUCACAUGGCCUCCAUUUGUUUAUUCUCUUGCCGUUUUUGUUUUUUUUUUUAACUUUUUUUUUUUUUAAGACAGAGUUUCACUUUGUCGCCCAGGCUGGAAUGCAAUGGCACAAUCUGGGCUCACUGCAACCUCCGCCUCCUGGGUUCAAGCGAUUCUCAUGCCUCAGCCUCCCAAGUAGCUAGGAUUACAGGCACCCAUCACCAUGCCCAGCUAAUUUUUGUAUUUUUAGUAGAGAUGGGGUUUCACAAUAUUGGCCAGGCUGGUCUCAAACUCCUGACCUAAGAUGAUCCACCUGCCUUGGCCUCCUAAAGUGCUGGGAUUACAGGCAUGGGCCACUGUGCUCAGCCUAUUUUUUACUUUUUUUAGAGAUGGGGUCUUGCUGUGUUACCCAGGCUGGAGUGUAGUGGCAUGAUCAUAGCUCACUACAGCCUUGAACUCCUCUUGCCAUUUUUUUUAUCCUUAAAAUUUCCAUGUCUCACUCUCUUGCCAACUGUUCUCUCUCAUUUGGUCCCUUGAUUCACUCUAAACUCAAACCCUGAUAAAGCAGCUGAUCGGUGAAGUGUCUGUUGUUACUAAAGUAGAAGUUAGAGGCAGAACAGUGGCAGAGAGCCCUGGAAUCUGGCCCUUGGUAGGUGCUCCACAAAUGUUUGUUGAACAAAUGAAUAAGUGGAGCCAGGUUGUCUAUGCCCUAGUCCCAGCUCUCUCACAUGCGCUAGUGAGAGAUAUAUACAUG